rnacentral:rRNA from 1 species
GAUGAACGCUGGCGGCGUGCCUAAUACAUGCAAGUCGAGCGAACAGAUGAUGAGCUUGCUCCUCUUACGUUAGCGGCGGACGGGUGAGUAACACGUGGAUAACCUACCUAUAAUACUGGGAUAACUUCGGGAAACCGGAUCUAAUACCGGAUAAUAUAUUGAACCGCAUGGUUCAAUAGUGAAAGACGGUUUUGCUGUCACUUAUAGAUGGUUCCUGGCCGCAUUAGCUAGUUGGUAAGGUAACGGCUUACCAAGGCAACGAUGCGUAGCCGACGUGAGAGGGUGAACGGCAACACGGGAAGGGAGACACGGACAAGAGUACUACGGGAGGCAGCAGUAGGGAAUGUUACGCAAUGGGCGAAAGCAUGACGGAGCAAGGCCGAGUGAGUGAUGAAGGUCUUAGGAUCGUAAAACUCUGUUAUUAGGGAAGAAAAAAUGUGUAAGUAAAUAUGCACGUAUUGACGGUAACAAAACAGAAAGCAACGGCUAACUACGUG